ACAAAACCUUGGUCUGGAUUUGUACUUUCUGAACCUGAAUUUUCCUUCUUUAUCUCUGGCCAUAAGUAGUCUGCAUCUCUAACAUAUGCUUAGGGGGAAAAGAUUAUAGCGUUGUUGCGGCAGCAACUGGGCUGUGCUUUCUGACGGUUGGAAAGGUAACAGCAAAAAUAUUGAAAAACUAUGCUUAAGUUCUAAUGAUAGUUAAAAAGUUGUUUCUGUAGAAGGAUAUUCUGCCAGGCUGUGCUCUUUACGCGACUGCUUGCAGGAAACACGACGCAUUCCUUGUAUCAGCGAACUUUUUUUCCAGCUUCUCUGGUGGUUUUUCUGGCUCUCAGUCAUUUGUUGUUUACUGUAAUUCCUUAAGCCGCCAAAUAUGUCAUCUAAGCAAGAAAAAACGAAUGCUGACCAUUCCAUGGUGCACACCAAAGCCUCAGAUUGGCUUCCCGGGAGCAGUAGGGACAUCUGAGCCGACCAGCCUGUGAGUUUCCCGGGGGAAGACGAAUCAAACCGUUUGGGACCACGAUACGAAACACAUUUAUUAAUGAAACUGUCUAACAGCCAAAUGCUUCACAGUGUUUCGUGACUUUAUACUUUUCAAGACCCUCGCCGUUAUCUGGUGGCUAAGGAUGUGAAGGUAACUUUUUAAAGCAAAGGGCGAUCUUCAGGACUUCCAUCCAUCCAUCCACCCAUCUAUAUCCGUUAGUCCUCCUGUGUUGGGUCCCGUGUGUCUGGAAACUUCGGGCACAAGGCAGGGGCACCACACCAUUCACACCUACGGACAAUUUGGCAAAUCCAGUUCACCUGUUUUCCGACUGUUCAUUCCAUUCAUAUUUUCAGACUGUGGGAUGAAACCGGAGAAGCCGGGGGAGUGUUAUAGCGUAACACAGGGGGUGUUCCACAAAGCCGGGAUUCUCAGUUAGCGGGGUUAACUUAAGCUAGAAGUCAUGAUUGUCCGAUAGGAAUGCUCCUUACCUAAACACUUACAGGACAAUCGUGAUAUAUAUCUUAAGUUAAUCCAGCUAACUGAUAAAUACCCCGCUGCUUUUUGAAACACCUCCCAAGGAACCUAACAAAAUAAAAUCAAAACACAAAGUU